rnacentral:rRNA from 1 species
AUACGUAGGGGGCGAGCGUUGUCCGGAAUGAUUGGGCGUAAAGGGCGCGUAGGCGGCCCGGUAAGUCUGGAGUGAAAGUCCUGUUUUUAAGAUGGGAAUUGCUUUGGAUACUGUCGGGCUUGAGUGCAGGAGAGGUAAGUGGAAUUCCCAGUGUAGCGGUGAAAUGCGUAGAGAUUGGGAGGAACACCAGUGGCGAAGGCGACUUACUGGACUGUAACUGACGCUGAGGCGCGAAAGUGUGGGGAGCAAACAGGAUUAGAUACCAUGGUAGUCCACACUGUAAACGAUGAAUGCUAGGUGUAGGGGGUAUCGACCCCUUCUGUGCCGCAGUCAACACAAUAAGCAUUCCGCCUGGGGAGUACGGCCGCAAGGUUGAAACUCAAAUGAAUUGACGGGG